GCAAGUCGAGCGGUAACAUUUCUAGCUUGCUAGAUGAUGACGAGCGGCGGACGGGUGAGUAAUGCUUGGGAAUAUGCCUUUGAGUGGGGGACAACAGUUGGAAACGAUAGCUAAUACCGCAUAAUGUCUACGGACCAAAGGGGGGGAUCUUCGGACCUCUCGCGCAUUGAUUAGCCCAAGUGAGAUUAGCUAGUUGGUGAGGUAAUGGCUUACCAAGGCGACGAUCUCUAGCUGGUUUGAGAGGAUGAUC
rnacentral:rRNA from 1 species